rnacentral:rRNA from 1 species
UACGUAGGGACCAAGCGUUGUCCGGAAUCAUUGGGCGUAAAGAGCGUGUAGGCGGCUUGUUAAGUCUUGCGUGAAAGCCCGGGGCUACAACCCCGGAACUGCCUUUAAGACUGCAUCGCUUGAAUCCGGAGAGGUGAGUGGAAUUCCGAGGUGUGAGAAGGUGAAAUUCGUAGAUAAUUCGGAAGAACAGCCUAGGUAGGCGAAAGGCGGUCGAUGCCACCUAGGAACGUUGG